CGGCGAGUGAAGCGGCACAAGCUCAAAUUUGAAAUCUGGCCCUCUCAGGGUCCGAGUUGUAAUUUGUAGAAGAUGUUUCGGGUGUGGCCCCGGUCUAAGUUCCUUGGAACAGGACGUCAUAGAGGGUGAGAAUCCCGUAUGUGACUGGGUGCCUAUGCCCAUGUGAAACUCUUUCGACGAGUCGAGUUGUUUGGGAAUGCAGCUCAAAAUGGGUGGUAAAUUUCAUCUAAAGCUAAAUAUUGGCCAGAGACCGAUAGCGCACAAGUAGAGUGAUCGAAAGAUGAAAAGCACUUUGGAAAGAGAGUUAAACAGUACGUGAAAUUGUUGAAAGGGAAGCGCUUGCAAUCAGACUUGCGCCGGGGCGAUCAUCCGGGGUUCUCCCCGGUGCACUCGUCCCGGCGCAGGCCAGCAUCGGUUUCCGUGGCUGGAUAAAGGCCCUGGGAAUGUGGCCCCUCUCGAGGGGUGUUAUAGCCCUCGGUGCAAUGCAGCCUACGGGGACCGAGGACCGCGCUUCGGCUAGGAUGCUGGCGUAAUGGUUGUAAGCGACCCGUCUUGAAACACGGACCAAGGAGUCUAACAUCUAUGCGAGUGUUUGGGUGUCAAACCCAUCCGCGUAAUGAAAGUGAACGGAGGUGAGAACCCUGAAGGGUGCAUCAUCGACCGAUCCUGAUGUCUUCGGAUGGAUUUGAGUAAGAGCAUAGCUGUUGGGACCCGAAAGAUGGUGAACUAUGCGUGAAUAGGGUGAAGCCAGAGGAAACUCUGGUGGAGGCUCGCAGCGGUUCUGACGUGCAAAUCGAUCGUCAAAUUUGCGUAUAGGGGCGAAAGACUAAUCGAACCAU
rnacentral:rRNA from 1 species